GGGGGCGACUUGGAUUCGACCGGAUGAUUGGAAGCGUAUGGUUGCGUGUCGUGGUUGAUCAGUUGGCCACGUAAAAAGCUGAUCACAACUUAAUUGCAGAUGAAAAUCUAGCACUGGCUGCCUAAGAACAGGCAACCCUGACUGAAGGGGGCUGCCAGAGCCGCCUGACUGUCAGAUGCAAUUCUGGAUCGCUUACCGUCAUGGUCGAGACGCGGUAGGCUAAAUAAAGAUUCGAUCUAGCGAGCGGCGGAGCCUGUCGGGCAGCGCCGCUGUAAGCGAAAUGGGCUUCGGUCCAUAACCGUCCGACUACACACGUAGACGCCGUCGUGGACGCAUCGCGGGACGAGGGUUCAAUUCCCUCCGCCUCCAC
rnacentral:tmRNA from 1 species